rnacentral:misc_RNA from 1 species
UGUAAAUAUAAUAAGGCCAUAUAUAAUCAACAAAAUUAAUGUCUAAUGAUUAAUAAUGAGAUUUUAAUAAAGCCUAUAGAAAUUAAUAUAUCAAAUGGGACUAAAUAAAGGAAUUGUGUUUAAACAAUAUUGGGUUAAUAUUAGAUCAAAAUGAGACUAAAUUAGUGAAUCAAAUGAGUAAAUAAUUUGGUUAAUAUUGGAAGAGGAGGGUUGUAAAUGAAAUGAAAG